GUGAACGCUGGCGGUAGGCCUAACACAUGCCAGUCGAACGGCAGCACAGUAAGAGCUUGCUCUUACGGGUGGCGAGUGGCGGACGGGUGAGGAAUACAUCGGAAUCUACUUUUUCGUGGGGGAUAACGUAGGGAAACUUACGCUAAUACCGCAUACGACCUACGGGUGAAAGCAGGGGAUCUUCGGACCUUGCGCGAUUGAAUGAGCCGAUGUCGGAUUAGCUAGUUGGCGGGGUAAAGGCCCACCAAGGCGACGAUCCGUAGCUGGUCUGAGAGGAUGAUCAGCCACACUGGAACUGAGACACGGUCCAGACUCCUACGGGAGGCAGCAGUGGGGAAUAUUGGACAAUGGGCGCAGGCCUGAUCCAGCCAUACCGCGUGGGUGAAGAAGGCCUUCGGGUUGUAAAGCCCUUUUGUUGGGAAAGAAAAGCAGCAGGUUAAUACCCCGCUGUUCUGACGGUACCCAAAGAAUAAGCACCGGCUAACUUCGUG
rnacentral:rRNA from 1 species